UUAUCAGAGAAGAAGCCAGAGUCUUUUUGUUUUUUUCUUUAUAAGACUACACAAACAGCCAUGUCAGCGUUAAUGUGUCAGCAACAAUUUAAAUGCAAGCAUGUGUUAAUGCUGAGCUGAUUGAAUAAAUUAAUCUGGCAGCUAAUAUGGAGGAUUGUACAUGCAAACUCAAAAACUUCUCCAAACUGAAAAAAACAGAAGGUGAUCAGACGUUUACAACAACGUUUUUGUGGACAAGGAUAGAUGCAUAUACUUCACAUUUCAAUCAAAGGACUAGAACCUGCUGGUACAAAUGGGUCCCAUCUUUUCUCAUGACCAAGGACCUUGGCACGUUUCGUCCGACAUUACCCAGUUCUGAUGCCUCCUGGAACCUAUGAGCGUCGUCGAGUGUGUUUUGCGUUGGCCCGAAGCCGCAAACACACACACGCAGGUUGCGGGGGGUGCUGGAGCCUAUCUCAGCUGCAAUCCGGCGGAAGGCGGAGUACACCCUGGACAAGUCGCCACUUCAUCACAGGGCCAACACAGAUUUGGUUCUGUACCGUAUUGGUUCUGGAUGACCCAGUGUGAACUCCAGAGGACUACUGUGUGUCUCCAUGUUCCAAGCAGAGCCAAGGAAACCAACGAACAUCUGCAGAGCAUAUUCUUAAAAAAGACCCAGUUAGACCACAGACUGACUGCCCUAUGCUAACAGAAAUCAGGAAAACGUGCUACUUAUACAGUUCUGGCAAAAGUCAUGCAAGUUGCGCAAACACCUAUUCAAAUUCCUUUAAAUGCAAAACAUGUUCACUUUGUAUUAUGAUGCCAUGAAAUUCAAAUUCCUUUAAAUGCAAAACAUGUUCACUUUGUAUUAUGAUGCCAUGAAUUUAAUACUUAGUGUUUUGAGUCAAAUUGACAACUUAAUCUUGACAUGCUAGAGUUGAACCAUCUUCACACCUUAAUUGUUUUUAUUUUAUUUUAUUUUAACAAUUAUUUUGGUUUCAACUUAUUGUUGAAUAUUUACAAUUAGACAUUAACAACUCAAACAGUUCAUGCAGAGAAGACUACGUAUGUGAACUCUGAUCCGGAUUCUGUAAAUGUAUCACUAGAAAUGAGAACUUGCGCCCAACAGGUUGGCCGCAAAUUUCUCGGCUGAAUGUUUCCCUUUCACUAGUGUGUUUGAGAACAUUUUCAUUUCAUUGGUGUUUGUGUGUGAGCAUUUUACUAGUGUGUGUGUAAGCAUGCCACUCAUGUCUCUGUGCAAGCAUUUCACUAGUUUGUGUACAUAAUAAUUGUUAUAGAGUGUGUGUCACCAUUUCACGAGUGUUUGUAUUUAAGUGUUUCACUAGUGUGUUUGUUAGCAUUCCACUCGUGUUUGAGAUUUUCACUAGUGUGUGUGAGAGCAUUUUCAUGUCAGUAGUGUUUGUGUGAGCAUUUCACUAGUGUCUCUGUGCAAACAUGUCACCAGUGUGUGUGUGAGCUAGGGUUGUCCCGAUACCAAUAUUGUGUUACCGGUACUAGGACCAAAAUGUAUUUCAGUACGUUUAAAAAAUAAAGGGGACCACAAAAACAUUUCAUUAUUGGCUUUGUUUUAACAUCUUAUGAUAUAUUAAACAUGUUUCGUAUUGUAAUCAAAGAAGAAUUCCGGCAUUGAAUGAGAUAGUAAACAUACUAGACAACUUCUCUUUUAGUAAUAAGUAGCAAACAAAGACUCUUAAUUGGCUGCUGAUGUAUGCAGUAACAUAUUGUAUAAUUUUCGGUUGUAUUAUUUUGGCAAAAUUAUGAGGGACAAGCGGUAUAAAAUUAAUUAUUGAUGUACUUGUUAAUUUUUUCUCUUUAUGUCUGCUUAAUUUCUGUUUUAACAUGUUCUAUCUACACUUCUGUUAAAAUGUAAUAACCACUUAUUCUUCUGUUGUUUGGAUGCUUUACAUAAGUUCUGGGUGAUUUUACAAAUGUUGGUAA